rnacentral:rRNA from 1 species
UACGUAGUGUGCAAGCGUUAAUCGGAAUUACUGGGCGUAAAGCGUGCGCAGGCGGUCUUGCAAGACAGAUGUGAAAUCCCCGGGCUUAACCUGGGAACUGCAUUUGUGACUGCAAGGCUGGAGUACGGUAGAGGGGGAUGGAAUUCCGCGUGUAGCAGUGAAAUGCGUAGAUAUGCGGAGGAACACCGAUGGCGAAGGCAAUCCCCUGGACCUGUACUGACGCUCAUGCACGAAAGCGUGGGGAGCAAACAGG